UACGUAGGGGGCUAGCGUUGUCCGGAAUCAUUGGGCGUAAAGCGCGUGUAGGCGGCCCGGUAAGUCCGCUGUGAAAGUCGGGGGCUCAACCCUCGGAUGCCGGUGGAGUACUGUCGGGCUUGAGUACGGAAGAGGCGAGUGGAAUUCCUGGUGUAGCGGUGAAAUGCGCAGAUAUCAGGAGGAACACCAAUGGCGAAGGCAGCUCGCUGGGACGGUAGCUGACGCUGAGACGCGAAAGCGUGGGGAGCAAA
rnacentral:rRNA from 1 species